rnacentral:rRNA from 1 species
UACGUAGGGUGCAAGCGUUGUCCGGAAUUAUUGGGCGUAAAGAGCUCGUAGGCGGUUUGUCGCGUCUGCCGUGAAAGUCCGGGGCUCAACUCCGGAUCUGCGGUGGGUACGGGCAGACUAGAGUGCGGUAGGGGAGAUUGGAAUUCCUGGUGUAGCGGUGGAAUGCGCAGAUAUCAGGAGGAACACCAAUAGCGAAGGCAGCUCGCUGGGACGUUACUGACACUGAGGCGCGAAAGCGUGGGGAGCGAACAGG